rnacentral:rRNA from 1 species
GACGAACGCUGGCGGCGUGCUUAACACAUGCAAGUCGAACGGAAAGGCCCUGCUUUUGUGGGGUGCUCGAGUGGCGAACGGGUGAGUAACACGUGAGUAACCUGCCCUUGACUUUGGGAUAACUUCAGGAAACUGGGGCUAAUACCGGAUAGGAGCUCCUGCUGCAUGGUGGGGGUUGGAAAGUUUCGGCGGUUGGGGAUGGACUCGCGGCUUAUCAGCUUGUUGGUGGGGUAGUGGCUUACCAAGGCUUUGACGGGUAGCCGGCCUGAGAGGGUGACCGGCCACAUUGGGACUGAGAUACGGCCCAGACUCCUACGGGAGGCGGCAGUGGGGAAUAUUGCACAAUGGGCGGAAGCCUGAUGCAGCAACGCCGCGUGCGGGAUGACGGCCUUCGGGUUGUAAACCGCUUUCGCCUGUGACGAAGCGUGAGUGACGGUAAUGGGUAAAGAAGCACCGGCUAACUACGUGCCAGCAGCCGCGGUGAUACGUAGGGUGCGAGCGUUGUCCGGAUUUAUUGGGCGUAAAGGGCUCGUAGGUGGUUGAUCGCGUCGGAAGUGUAAUCUUGGGGCUUAACCCUGAGCGUGCUUUCGAUACGGGUUGACUUGAGGAAGGUAGGGGAGAAUGGAAUUCCUGGUGGAGCGGUGGAAUGCGCAGAUAUCAGGAGGAACACCAGUGGCGAAGGCGGUUCUCUGGGCCUUUCCUGACGCUGAGGAGCGAAAGCGUGGGGAGCGAACAGGCUUAGAUACCCUGGUAGUCCACGCUGUAAACGGUGGGUACUAGGUGUGGGGUCCAUUCCACGGGUUCCGUGCCGUAGCUAACGCUUUAAGUACCCCGCCUGGGGAGUACGGCCGCAAGGCUAAAACUCAAAGGAAUUGACGGGGCCCCGCACAAGCGGCGGAGCAUGCGGAUUAAUUCGAUGCAACGCGUAGAACCUUACCUGGGUUUGACAUGGAUCGGGAGCGCUCAGAGAUGGGUGUGCCUCUUUUGGGGUCGGUUCACAGGUGGUGCAUGGCUGUCGUCAGCUCGUGUCGUGAGAUGUUGGGUUAAGUCCCGCAACGAGCGCAACCCUUGUUCACUGUUGCCAGCACGUUAUGGUGGGGACUCAGUGGAGACCGCCGGGGUCAACUCGGAGGAAGGUGGGGAUGACGUCAAGUCAUCAUGCCCCUUAUGUCCAGGGCUUCACGCAUGCUACAAUGGCUGGUACAGAGAGUGGCGAGCCUGUGAGGGUGAGCGAAUCUCGGAAAGCCGGUCUCAGUUCGGAUUGGGGUCUGCAACUCGACCUCAUGAAGUCGGAGUCGCUAGUAAUCGCAGAUCAGCAACGCUGCGGUGAAUACGUUCCCGGG